rnacentral:rRNA from 1 species
GACGAACCGUGCGAACGUUGUUCGGAAUCACUGGGCUUAAAGGGCGCGUAGGCGGCUUGCCAAGUCAGUGGUGAAUCCUGGAGCUCAACUCCAGAACUGCCUUCGAUACUGAGAGUCUCGAGUCCGGGAGAGGUGAGUGGAACUGCGAGUGUAGAGGUGAAAUUCGUAGAUAUUCGCAAGAACACCAGUGGCGAAGGCGGGUCUCUGGCCGAAAUUGACGCUGAGGAGCGAAGCGUGGGAGC